CGGUAAUGGUGGGGAACGUCUGGGGAGGACUGCCGGUGAUAAACCGGAGGAAGGUGGGGACGACGUCAAGUCAUCAUGGCCCUUACGGGAUGGGCUACACACGUGCUACAAUGGCAGGUACAGAGGGCUGCGAAGCCGCGAGGUGGAGCGAAUCCCAGAAAACCUGUCUCAGUCCGGAUUGAAGUCUGCAACUCGACUUCAUGAAGGCGGAAUCGCUAGUAACCGCGAAUCAGCAGGUCGCGGUGAAUACGUUCCCGGGCCUU
rnacentral:rRNA from 1 species